UACUACAUUAGAUACUCUUACCUCUACAUUAGAUACUCUUACCACUACAUUAGAUACUCUUACCUCUACAUUAGAUACUCUUACCUCUACAUUAGCUCUUCUAGCUCCUCUUACCUCUACAUUAGAUACUCUUACCUCGACAUUAGAUACUCCGACUACUACAUUAGAUACUCUUACUCUACGAAUUUAAUACUCUUACCUCUACAUUAGAUACUUCUUUACUCUACAUUGAUACUCUUACACUACUUUUAGAUACUGUUACCUCUACAUUAGCUCCUCUAGCUCCUCUUACUCUACAUUAGUACUCUUACAUCUACAUCAGAUACUCUACCACACAUUAGAUACUCUUACAUCUUAGUUUCUCUUACUCUACAUUAGGAUACUCUUUACCUCGACAUAGAUUACUUCUUACCUCUACAUUAGAUA
rnacentral:lncRNA from 1 species